CUGUAACUCGGAGGAGGAAGAGGCGGGGCUGACGGCGCUCCUCAGACACGAAGCUUCUAUACGCUACCUUUCAGUUUUGAGUGGGGGUGGACGUGCGAAAUUCCCACUGUCCAAGGAUCACAUCCCUUCUAGCCUUCGAGCCUGCUAGAAGAGGCCCAGUUGGUACGGUAAUACUUAUUCACCAAGCUGGUCAUCGACGAGAGUGAGGAUAUCCUAGACGGAGCAAGAAUGGGCAGAGGCUGAAGGUAGAGGUUUGUUUUUUUUUUCUCCUUUUUUUUAUAUAUAUAUAUGUAUAUAUAUAUAUAUAUAUAUAUACAAGACACAUUAAUCCAUUAAAUUUGAGGACACAGUACAAAAAAAAACCACUUCAACUAAUCCAUCUGACAAUGCUGUUCAUAUUUAUGACGCCAUUUUUUUUUAGUGUGUGUGUGUGUGUGUGUGUGUGUGUGUGUGGUUUGGCUUUCCUAAUAAUAAAGGAGGAGACUUAGGGCUGUUGGGCUGAUAUAUAUUUGGGGUGGGGGAGGGGUUUCACCUUCCCACCUCACCCAUACACCACCAGGGUGAACAGGAAGAAGUGAGGGAAAGGCAGGGCCCACAGCAAAGUUUCAUAAUCUUGAAUGCAAAGAGAAAGGAGGAAGAGGAGGGGAGGGAAGAAAAUACAAAUCCUAUAAUACAUACAACAGGGUAGGAUGGUAGAGGGAUGGGACAGACAUGAAGCUGAGGUGUGGGAUGGGCCGCUGGGGGUGUGGAGCAGCGGAAUCGCCCCACAUUCUUUUCUCUCUUUGAUGCUGUUUCCAUAGUUUCCAGGCUGAGAAGCCCUCUCAGAAGAUGGGACAGGAGAAGAGGGUCAGGGCCUCAGUUGGCCCCCCAGCUGUAGCUGUUGUAGGCAGACUUGUUGGUCUGGGGCUUCUGCGGGAUGGAGCUGGUCUGGCUACGUUGCCCGCUGCCCGUCUGCAGGGGAAUGGGAGGGUUAUGGGGGAGGAAAAAGGCGUCUAGUUAGUGGGACCAAUCUGUAACAUCUUCAAGUGGCAAUGUGCAAACAGUCAUGCUCUCUCAUUUCUUUUACUUAGAACCUAUGAAGCUUACUUUUCAAGCACAGAAAUUUUGGUCUACAUAGCCUCUUUUACAAGGUGACUUUUUUUUUUUUUUAACUUUAAAGUAGAGGAAAAUGAAAAGUGGACAAGGAAACUUUGAAGAUAGCACGGUGAGUUGGUUCUAUUCUUGUCUUCCCCACUACCCACUGCUCUGGUCUAAAAAACAAAAAACCAACUAUGAGAAUUCUGACCUUUUCAAAGUGAGUGAUCACAAGGUGAUUACGUUCUCACUCAUCUCUGUGAAUGCUGAAACAUAGAAAGCUAUCUUUGAGAGCUAAUAAGCCCUAUUUUAGUUGCCCAGCCACCUAUGUUAGGGAUCUUAAGAGGUCUCUUUUACCACUCUUCAGAUCCACCCACCACCACACAUUAAUGAAUGUGAAACCAAUUCAAAGCCACAAAGGCCUGAGGCAUCAGGCUCCAGAUCUCCCCCAACCCCCCAAGAAUCUUUUCCAUUCUAGUAACCAAGUGUUUUCCAGAGUUGGGGAGGGUAGAAAGAUAAAGAGGGUGUUGAGGGGGGAAGGAAGAGAGAGGAUGGGGAGGCCAGAGAGCUUAGCAUAGUGUUUCUGUUUGUGUAUCCCGAUUUGUGAUUGGGUAGGCUUUUCAAGUUAUCUGAGGCUGUGGAGGUGAAAUGGGGACUAAAAGGUUGGUUCAAACAUAUCAUCAUUCAUUUUAAUUACCUGCUCCUCCUGCUGGCGCUGGCAACAGAGAAUCAUCUGCAAAUAUGGUAGCUGAGGCAGAACCAGGAUAUAUGGAAAAUAAAGGGACAAACUUGACAAUAGAACUGCACUGUUAGAAGGGAAAGCUAUAAUGAAUGUCAGGGAAGGGGGAAGGCUGGGAGAGGUUAGAGGGAAGGUGUGGCCCAGGUCUGAUAGGAUGAGGACAACUGUGCCAUGGGAGGUGGAAGGAAGGUACCAAAGGAACUGGACAAAUGGGUUUCAAUCUAUCCCAUUCUUUUAUGUUUCCUUCGCUAACUGCUCGUGUUAUGUGCGCUUGUGUCUGUAUGUGCUGUGUGCCCCUGGCUGGCACUGGUGAGGGCUGGGUGAAGGUGGUGGUAAGGAAGGUUAAGAAAAGGAAAAGGGAAGUAGUUUUAAGGGAUAGGAAGGAAGAGGAAGGGAAAGGAGAGAGGGGGGAAGGGCUGUUACCUGGCCAUCCUGCUGCAGGUGAUGGUGAAGGAUCUGAGAGUGUGGCUGCUGAUGUGGGGUCAGAAUGUGCAUAAAGGGGGCAGGUGGGUAGGCAGCAGCUGUGGCUGGAUUGAUGGGCCCUCCACUUCCUAGGGCUGAAGGCAAGUUGAAGGAGGCAGCAGGAGUACCGGAAUGAAAACCUUGUUUCUCAAAGGACUGCUAUCCCAGGAGAACAGGAGGGAAAAUAGUAAAGUGUGAUCAUUAGAAGAAUCCUAGGACUUUCUGAGGUCAAACACCCUUAUCCACAGAAAGUAGCAUGGUCAGAAGCAAUAGCAUACUGCAAGUCAAAUAUUCAGAAAUCUUAGUUCUACCUCUGCCUUUUCAUAGCUCCAUGAUCCUAGGCAAAUUAACUAUGUAACCUCAGUUUCCUCAUAAAUAAAAGAAAUAUUGCUGAGCUCUUGUCAUAAGGAUCAAGCAGGAAGGUGACUGUUAAGAGUAUGCCCUGAAGUCUUACUGGCUAGGCGUGGAUAAAGCACACCUUUAAUCCCAAUCACUUGGGAAGCAGGUGGAUCUUUGGAGUUUGAGACUAGUCUAGUCUACACAAUGAGUUCCAGGUCAGCUAGAACUACAAAUUGAAACCCUUCCUCAAGAUAGAUAAGGAAAAAUAAUUUCAUGAGACUAUAGAGAAAUUUGCUGACUACUCUGGGUAUUCCUGCCCCUGUAGUUACUGGAGGUGACUGACACACCUAAUGGGGGAGGAAAGAGAGGAUUAGCUCUGUUAUCAGCCCAGUCUCUGUUCCUAGGAAGCAGUGAUGUCUGCAGCCUUUCUAGCUAUGGCACUGUAAAGGAAUUUUGGUAAAAUUAAAACUCCUUACAUAAAAAUCACAGACAAUAGGCAUAUCUGUAGAUAACUCAGUAACAAACACCUCACUUCAUUCCUGCUUUUGGUUAUGGACUUACAAAGAAUGAAACUAGUUUCACUUCAUCUGGUAUUUAUUCUCUUGCAAAGUUACAAAAAUGGUAGUAAGUAGGUAGGUCAAGGGCCCAGCACCACUGCACAUUAAGUAAUAACCAUGUUUACAAUUUACCACACUUGCCCUUGUCAUUUUUUUUUUUUUGAGCUGGGGACCGAACCCAGGGCCUUGCGCUUACCACUGAGCCAAAUCCCCAACCCCUGCCCUUGUCAUUUCUUAAUUCUUUUCCUCAGAGGGCUAAAUUUAAAGUUCUAGAGAAAUUGAAGACAAUUCUAGAGAGUAGAGACAAUUCAUUUUAGUAAAGGUAGGACAGGUUCCUGACAUCUCUCCUGAGGGUUGUUCUAACGUCAACUCCACCUCUUCUAUGUUCAUCUUUCUACUUUCAUCCAGACAAGGUACCUACCUGGGUUUUGGAGUACACAGAACCCGAGAUAUCUGGCACGCCCGUGUUACUGGAGGUGACUGACACACCUAGUGGGGGAGGAAAGAGAGGAUUAGCUCUGUUAUCAGCCCAGUCUCUGUUCCUAGGAAGCAGUGAUGUCUGCAGCCUUUCUAGCUAUGGCACUGUAAAGGAAUUUUGGUAUAAUUUUCCCAUUUUUGUCGGUUCUGAGAUAUCAGAAUUCAUAACACAAAUGCUGUAUAAGAAUUCUUUUGUCCUUUAUAGGUAUUAUGUACGGAAUAUGUGUUAGCUGCUUUUUGAGGGGAACAGGGGGUAUUAGCAAAAUCUCAGUAGUGUAUUGUAAGCAAAAGUAUAUAAUAAACUUAGUGUCCAUUGUGAACCAGUCUAUUCAAACUCUACUUGAUUGUGCCCUUUAAGACGGGUAAUUUGGCUCUUUCUGUUCUAUAGACACUUCAAAAUCCUUAACUGUUAAGUAGGAACAGACUAGUGCAGUCCCAGGAGCACUUAAUCUCAGUUUACUUAAGUCUCACUUUUCUAGUUGUAGGAAUUCUAGGUCUAUAUCCUUAUGAAUUAAAGGGUUGACACGAGAUGAAUUUCUAGUUACAUAAUUUAAUUGAUAUGGGACAUGGGGAAGACAUAGUAAGGGGUUUAAGCCUAUAUGGAAUGUAGAAACAAUGUCAUUUUCAUUACUUCUGAUUGUCCAUGAAAUAACAGCUUUAAUCCAUACCUAACUCAUGUUUCCUGUAGAAAAAUUCCCUACAACCAGUUCAGAGGAGCCUACAGCAGUAUAAUCCAUUUCAAUUUGUUCUCAAGCUGAAAAGAACUUACUACUAUACUCUUUCCUCCUGAGGGUGUAAGUCAAUAAAUCAAGAAGACAGGAAAAGUCAUGGGAUCAUAUAACAUCUCACUAGAGAUAUUUUAAACAAAAAUGUGAAAAAUAAGUUAAUUAAACUAGAAAUUUAAUUCAGAACUGAAAAAACACAUUAUUAAUUCCUGUAAAGAUAAAAAGGAAACCAGAAAAACUGCAUUCCUGUGCUCUUAGAUUCUGGCCUCCAGAGGUGCAUUAUUCUUUUAUCUGGGAACAUUCUAAUGGAGUUUUGUUUUGCUUUAUUCCUGAGAAGAAAUAUAUUAAUGACAAAAAUCACAAGGAAUCCUUCAUUCACUCACAAUUCAACAGUCUCCAUACAAAUUCCAGAGCUCAAAUUCUCCUAACCAAUCCCUAGAACAAAGGCAGCCUUUAGGAGUUAAGUUCACAACCACUUUAGAAUCUUCCAAUAGAAUGGUUUUCUUAAAGGGUUAAAGACUUAGUCAAGGAUUAAAUGCUUUUGUAGUCAGUGGAAGGACUAGGGUUUGACCUCUACCACCAAGAGAAAAGACUUUAACUGUUAAACCCUACCACAACACAAGUUGAGAUAGUGCCCUUCAGAAGGAACAAAUACAAUUUGGGGGUGGGGGGUCAGAACCACAGAAAUAAAGCAAGAUUACCUGCAUACUUGGAAGGCACAGAGUACACAAAGGGAACAGUUAAACAAAUUCUUUUGGAGGUAACAGAGACUUUUCUUCCUCUUUUCAGACUCCAGAUUCUAUCUGACAGAACAAUGGGUAGCAGGCAUAACUUUAAGUUCAGUUAUGAAAGGGGCUAAAGCUAGUGAGAGGUUUGGAAGGGAGAUAAGCCAAGAUAUAAAUAGAACAUUUUAAAGACAAAAACUAGAGACAAUUUCUUAUCUUUACUAGCUAAGUGUAUAUUAGUUGGUUUGGUUACCAUCAAUACAAAGAGAAACUAGGGUGCUUACACAGGGUGGGAGAAGAACUGGAUUCUGAAGCUGGGUGGUAAGGAGUUAACUUAGUUCUACCAAGUUCCUAUCUGGUUUUUUACUUAAAAAGUUUAGGUUCAGAGAUUUAAAGUUGCAUAGAAGAUAGAAGGGACUAGAAAUUGGGAGGGAGAGAUUCUAUAUAGUAGCUAUAAGAGCCUCUAUUUAAUAGAAAACCUUUAAAAAACAAACAAAAAAAUCAGGCAUUGGUUUUUUGAUUUUCACUAAAAAAGCUUGUUAUUCCAGAGAUCCUCAGACCAGAGUUUUGCUCUUUUUCCUACCCAACAUGUCCUGCCUACCUAUUACCCCAACUCAAUAGUUAUAAUUGGUUACACUCUAUAGGACCAGAAGGGUAGCUGCUAUCUGGUUUCAGCUAACCAAGAGUAGUGGUCUAAUUGUUCAAAUUUAUGCUAUAAACCAAAAGCUGAUAGUGUGCCAGUCAGUGAGUGCAUGGAGAUCAAAUUUUCUAGAAUGUCUGACCAAACAUCUCCCAUACACCUUUGGCUACAUCUACAAGUAAAAGACAUAGGGGUUGGGGAUUUGGCUCAGUGGUAGAGCGCUUGCCUAGGAGGCGCAAGGCCCUGGGUUCGGUCCCCAGCUCCGAAAAAAAGAAAAGGGAAAAAAAAAAAAAAAAAAAAAAGACAUAGUAAUCUCUGAAAAGCCAUCAAAGGACCAUGUUCUAGGCUAGCACAGGUCCACAAAACCCAAGUCAUCAACUAAGUGAUCGCUAAUGAUAUGAUCAGCUAUCAGCCAGUCAGUCAGCCUUUGAGAACUAGACGUAGCCUUGGAUGAUACUUCCCUAACAAUAGCUUUGAACCACCUCUUUUGCCUUUCACCAUGACAUGGCACUCUAACCUUUUGUCCUUCCCAUCAGCCUAUGCCAGAGGCAAAGGGAUAAUCUAUAUGAAAAAGUAGAGACAUAAAAGCAUAGGAAAUCAGUUUUGUUGUUUUUUUAUUUAUAAAUAGCUUUACCAACCAAUCAAUAGGCUGGAAACAGGCUGUUUUCCCUCCACCCAAAUUAAAAACCACUAUACUAAAACACUAACAGCUCUUUGGCUAUACUGGGGAUUGACUGAAAAAGCCACCCUCCACCCUUUAUCCAUAAUACAGCAUUGGCUCCUAGUGUCCAGAAAGACAUGCACGGAAAGAACGCAGAGUUAGCUAAAGAAAUACCACAGUUUAUUGAAGACUACAAAUAUUUUGUUACAAGUUGAACUACAUGCCUUCCAGAAAUCAAAAGCAACAGAAGGUGUGUGCAUUGAUGCUUCGGAGGUGCUGCACCGCUCGAACUCAAAAUGGGUAAGACAGGGUCAGAUACUUGGGGGAGAGGGAAUUGGGGAGGGGCAAGUUCAAAAGCCCAGAAGGUAUCCACCAACUCAUUUCCCCAAGCCAUGCAGGCCAUGGCCUCAGCUCAGCAGGCUCUCCUCAGUGGUCUGGUUUCUGAAACAAGACUUCAGUGCAAAUUUAUACACACACACAAAACACAGCCCCCAGGCUUGGGCCAAAUUAGCUCUCAGCCGUCCAGAAAUGCUUGUAAGGGGGUGGAUAUUUUCUUCCUAAAAGGAAUCAAAUACAUAAAGAUAAAUGAAUUUAGAGGUUGAUGAGAACAGGAUAAGAGCCCUCUGUUGGGGGUUGGUAACUGGGGGUCCUCAAAAAGUUGUUAUAACAGAUUUCUGAAAUCUUAAGGUAGGUAAGAAGCUAGGAGUUUCAGAAUCAGAUUCCAAUUUUCAUCAAUCACAUACCCUUUAAAAUAUUUAUAACUGGAUCACUUAGUACUUAAAUGUAGUACUGAAUUUUGGGAUGAAGUCACUCCAAGUCCAAGCUUAUACCUCUUUAUCCAAAGAUUAGGCUAGGUCUUGUUCAGUAAGAGGAAUAGCCAUAAGGGGUAUGGGCAUUAAAUCUCAGCAGUUCUUUAAGAUUUUUAAAAUGUUAUAUCAGUUCUCCAAUUACUGAAAAGCUUGGUUAUUUACCCACCCAGAGCACUAGAACACUGGUUGCUCCCUCUAAAUCCCAUAACACUUGGGAUUUUAUUUACAUAAAAAUGUAACCAGGCUACAAGCUUUUAAAGAUAAUUCAACUCUUACCCCUUAGCAAGUGCACCAACCACCUCCCCCAGAUUCGCCUAAAAGUCAUUUAAAAAAUUACAUGGAACUGUUUCCCAGUCCCCUCCUAGAGUCAGAUAUGGGCAUAUACCUAUUACACCACUACUCAGGAGAUAGUGGCAAAAGGAUUAACACAAAUUUGAGGCAAGCCUGGACUUCAUAGAGACCUUUUCUCAAAAACAAUACAAAACAAAAACACAAAGACGCCAGAUGUGGAGGGAGGUGUACACCUUUAGUCCCAGCACUCUGUGGAGGCAGAGGCAGACAAAUCUGUGAAUUCUAGGUCAUCCUGGUUUACAUAUUGAGUUCCAGGACAGACAGGGUUACAUAGAGAGACCCUGUUUCAAAACAAAACAAAAUAAGCCAAAUUAAAAAAAAAAAAAAAGCAAA